rnacentral:rRNA from 1 species
GACGAACCGUGCGAACGUUGUUCGGAUUCACUGGGCUUAAAGGGCGCGUAGGCGGGCCAUCAAGUCGGGGGUGAAAUCUUUCAGCUUAACUGGAAAAUAGCCUUCGAUACUGGUGGCCUGGAGGAAGGUAGGGGCAUGCGGAACUUCCGGUGGAGCGGUGAAAUGCGUAGAGAUCAGGAAGAACACCGGUGGCGAAAGCGCUCUGCUGGACCUUAACUGACACUGAGGGACGAAAGCUAGGGGAGCGAAUGGG